rnacentral:rRNA from 1 species
AGUGAACGCUGGCGGUAGGCCUAACACAUGCAAGUCGAACGGCAGCACAGUAAGAGCUUGCUCUUACGGGUGGCGAGUGGCGGACGGGUGAGGAAUACAUCGGAAUCUACUUUUUCGUGGGGGAUAACGUAGGGAAACUUACGCUAAUACCGCAAACGACCUACGGGUGAAAGCAGGGGAUCUUCGGACCUUGCGCGAUUGAAUGAGCCGAUGUCGGAUUAGCUAGUUGGCGGGGUAAGGGCCCACCAAGGCGACGAUCCGUAGCUGGUCUGAGAGGAUGAUCAGCCACACUGGAACUGAGACACGGUCCAGACUCCUACGGGAGGCAGCAGUGGGGAAUAUUGGACAAUGGGCGCAAGCCUGAUCCAGCCAUACCGCGUGGGUGAAGAAGGCCUUCGGGUUGUAAAGCCCUUUUGUUGGGAAAGAAAAGCAGCAGGUUAAUACCCCGCUGUUCUGACGGUACCCAAAGAAUAAGCACCGGCUAACUUCGUG